rnacentral:rRNA from 1 species
GACGAACGCUGGCGGCGUGCCUAAUACAUGCAAGUAGAACGCACAGUUUAUACCGUAUCUUGCUACACCAUAGACUGUGAGUUGCGAACGGGGGAGUCAUCCGUAGGUAACCUGCCUGGGAGCGGGGCGUAACUAUUGGAAACGAUAGCUAAUACCGCAUCAUAUUAAUUAUUGCAUGAUAAUUAAUUGAAUGGUGAAAUUGCAGCACUACCGGCUGGACCUGCGUUGUAUUAGCUAGUAGGUCAGGUAACGGCGCACCUAGGCGACGAAACAUAGCCGACCUGGGAGGGUGAUCGGCCACCAUGGGACUGAGACACGGCCCAGGCUUCUACCGGAGGCAGCAGGAGGGGAUCUUCGGCAAUGGACGAAAGUCUGACCGAGCAACGCCGCGUGAGGGGAGAAGGGUUUCGGAGCGUAAAGAUCUGUUGUAAGAGAAGAACGGGUGUGAGAGUGGAAAGUGCACACUGUGACGGUAUCUAACCAGAAAGGGACGGCUAACUACGUG